rnacentral:rRNA from 1 species
GAUGAACGCUGGCGGCGUGCUUAACACAUGCAAGUCGAGCGAGAAAAGUUCUUCGGAGCUUUUCUAGCGGCGGACGGGUGAGUAACACGUGGGCAACCUGCCUCAUAGAGGGGAAUAGCCUGCCGAAAGGAAGAUUAAUACCGCAUAAUGUUGUUGAAAGGCCUCUUUGAACAAUUAAAGGAGCAAUCCGCUAUGAGAUGGGCCUGCGGCGCAUUAGUUAGUUGGUGAGGUAACGGCUCACCAAGGCGACGAUGCGUAGCCGACCUGAGAGGGUGAUGGGCCACAUUGGAACUGAGAUACGGUCCAGACUCCUACGGGAGGCAGCAGUGGGGAAUAUUGCACAAUGGGGGAAACCCUGAUGCGGCAACGCCGCGUGAGUGAUGAAGGUCUUCGGAUUGUAAAGCUCUGUCUUUAGGGACGAUAAUGACGGUACCUAAGGAGGAAGCCACGGCUAACUACAUGCCAGCCGCGCCGUAACAC